GGGGCUGUGGCUCAGUGGAAGAGCACUUGCCUAGCAUGUGUGAGGCACUGGGUUCGAUUCUCAGCACCA
rnacentral:tRNA from 1 species